UACGGAGGGUGCGAGCGUUGUCCGGAAUCAUUGGGCGUAAAGGGCGCGUAGGUGGCCCGGUCAGCGUGCGGUGAAAGCUCGGGGCUCAACCCCGAGUCGGCCGUGCGAACUGCUGGGCUUGAGCACUGUAGAGGCAGGCGGAAUUCCGGGUGUAGCGGUGGAAUGCGUAGAGAUCCGGAAGAACACCGGUAGCGAAGGCGGCCUGCUGGGCAGUGGCUGACACUGAGGCGCGACAGCGUGGGGAGCAAACAGG
rnacentral:rRNA from 1 species